UGUGGGGUAGAGCAGUGGUUAGCUCGUCAGGCUCAUAACCUGAAGGUCGUCUGGUUCGAUUCCAGCCUCCACAA
rfam:Lingula anatina scaffold136, whole genome shotgun sequence.